GCACUCGGAGGUUUGUACACUGAAUGUUCGUCGCUUCGGAAGACCGUUUGAAAGAAAAAAAAUCAGAAGCGGUCGUCUCUCGACUACCCCCUUCACCGCGCCACCCGGCACGUGGACCGUCGGAUCGCCUCGGAUUUCUAUGUAUCCAUCGCUGUAAACGAAUUAUUUUAGUGCCUGCGAAAACGCUACGUUGGUAUUGCAAAAAUACGGUCUUCGGGUUUUUCGGAAAGACAAUUUUUUUGAGGGGUGAUAAUAUUAGUGUUACCCUACUCAGGAACACGCAUAUUGUCUGAAAUCCCCAUUGAUAUUCGGAUAUAACGAUUGGAUAAACUGGUUCUUUUCGGGUGAAAUAGAUUAAAAGAUCGAAAACAAGGUCGUCGUUAGGGUAACCGUUUUUUAUUUGUUUUCUUUUUUUUUUUUAUAUAAUUGUUAAGUUUUUAUUAUAUUUCUAAUCUUUUAAUCGUUGUUGUCGUGAAAACGCACCAUGUUGCAAGAGCAACGCUAUUGCCCGAGCUCCGCUCAGAAUCGUUUUUCAUUAGCAAUGAUCGAUCGAUUAAAUUAAAUUUCUCUCUAUAUCCUACAUUCCCGGAUUCCCACCCACGGAUUUUUAUUUGAUAUGUUCUGUGGUGAUAGACUAGAAAGAAAUGCUUGAAAAAUUGACAAUAGGUUCAUUAUGAGCCGUGCUUAGUGGUAAAAAAAAAAAAAAAACUAGUGUAAUUUAGUUUUUAGGUUAUUUAUUUUUUUAAGAGUUUUAAAAUCCAAUAUUAACGAAAUAUUACGGCUAUUCGAAACGUUGCGUUACCGAAUUUCGCUCCGAAUCGUUUUUCGUUAGCGACGGUCGGUCGCGGGUGUAUAAACUAGACGACUCUAUGUAUCCCAUCUUGCCCGAUACCCG